AGUGAACGCUGGCGGCAUGCCUUACACAUGCAAGUCGAACGGUAACAGGUCUUCGGAUGCUGACGAGUGGCGAACGGGUGAGUAAUACAUCGGAACGUGCCUAGUAGUGGGGGAUAACUACUCGAAAGAGUGGCUAAUACCGCAUGAGAUCUACGGAUGAAAGCAGGGGAUCGCAAGACCUUGUGCUACUAGAGCGGCCGAUGGCAGAUUAGGUAGUUGGUGGGAUAAAAGCUUACCAAGCCGACGAUCUGUAGCUGGUCUGAGAGGACGAUCAGCCGCACUGGGACUGAGACACGGCCCAGACUCAUACGGGAAGCAGCAGUGGGGAAUUUUGGACAAUGGGCGAAAGCCUGAUCCAGCAAUGCCGCGUGCAGGAUGAAGGCCUUCGGGUUGUAAACUGCUUUUGUACGGAACGAAAAGCCCCGGGUUAAUACCCUGGGGUCAUGACGGUACCGUAAGAAUAAGCACCGGCUAACUACGUGCCAGCAGCCGCAGUAA
rnacentral:rRNA from 1 species